UCCAAAAAAUCAUUGCCAAGACCAAUGCCCAGAAGCUUUUCUCCUAAGUAUUCUUCUAGUAGUUCUACAGUUUCAGGUCUUCGGAUUAAGUCUUCAAUCCAUUUUAAGUUGAUUUUUGUGAGUGGAAUGAAAUA